UACGGGGGGGUGCAAGCGUUGCUCGGAAUCACUGGGCGUAAAGCGUCCGCAGGCGGCUUUGUAAGUUAGAGGUGAAAGCCCGGGGCUCAACUCCGGAACUGCCUUUAAGACUGCAUCGCUUGAAUCCAGGAGAGGUGAGUGGAAUUCCGAGUGUAGAGGUGAAAUUCGUAGAUAUUCGGAAGAACACCAGUGGCGAAGGCGGCUCACUGGACUGGUAUUGACGCUGAGGUGCGAAAGCGUGGGGAGCAAACAGG
rnacentral:rRNA from 1 species